CAGGUGGCCGUGACCCUGCUGGAGUGCGGGGGGGACCUCCAGCCCCCCAGGGGGUUCCUGCGCCUCUUCUGCCGAGGGUCCGGGUUCAGUUUUGGCAGUUUCGAAAUGGAUUGGGUUCGACAGAGACCUGGGCAGGGGCUGGAGUGGGUUGGAAGCAUCAACAGUGGUGGCAGCACCUUCGACGCGCCAUCGGUCAAGGGCCGGUUCACGAUCUCCAGGGACAACGGGCAGAGCUCGGUGACGCUGACCAUGAACAACCUCAAGGACGACGAUUCCGCCAUCUAUUUCUGUGCCAAAACCACUGUUACUGGAAAUGUUGCUCGUGCUGAUGCUUUUAACCCCAGACCAGGGCAGGGCCUGGAAUACAUCGAAGCAAUCAAGAACGAUGGUUCCAGCUACGCCUAA